UCAAAACUGUCCAGAAAACGAAAAUGGACCCAAGCUCCCUUGUCGCCCCUAAUCCAACAUUGCGAGGAGGAGACACUGGGCCACAGCUCUUCUGCUGUCCUGCACCCAAAAUCCUGAGGAUGCCAUGGAGCUCGGCA